rnacentral:rRNA from 1 species
UACGGGGGGGGCAAGCGUUGUUCGGAAUUACUGGGCGUAAAGGGCGCGUAGGCGGCGUGACAAGUCACUUGUGAAAUCUCCGGGCUUAACUCGGAACGGUCAAGUGAUACUGUCGUGCUAGAGUACAGAAGGGGCAACUGGAAUUCCUGGUGUAGCGGUGAAAUGCGCAGAUAUCAGGAAGAACACCCGUGGCUAAGGCGGUUCUCUAGUACGGUACUGACGCUGAGACGCGAAAGCGUGGGGAGCGAACAGG